UACUUCUUUCUCUUUAAUGUUACAAAAUUCAGUAUUUCCACCAGGAUGUAAUGAAGGAAACAGCUUUGUUCUUGGAAUUUGAGACUACUUGGAUCCUUUUGAUCCCUUCAAGAUGAAGGCUGUAAGGAGACACUGGCUUUUGGGUUCAUUGCUGGAUACAGCAUCACUUGGUUGAAAUCACCUGGAGAGUAAGCUAACAGUCUAGUAUGGAGAACAACUCCUGAAGCUGGUGAAGACGAUGCAGAAUAUCACGUAGCAUUUAUUGUAAAAGCUUUAAAAUGUGACUUCUCCCAGAAUGUUCAAACAAGGCUGAGAGUUAGCACUGCAUGCUGUUGUUGAAAAGCUGAGUCAACUAAAAACGACUUGGCAAAACAUAUUGCGUGUUGAAAGAUGCUUCAGCUUAUGCAGUAUUACCAAUGCGAAUGUGUAAGGGGAGGAUGGCC